UGGGGUGUAGCUCACUGGUUGUAGAUCAUGCUCAGCAUGCACAAGACCCUGGGUUCAAUCCCUAGCACCCCAC
rnacentral:tRNA from 1 species